rnacentral:rRNA from 1 species
ACACCGGCAGCUCGAGUGGUAGCCGCUUUUAUUGGGCCUAAAGCGUCCGUAGCCGGUCUGAUAAGUCUCUGGUGCAAUCCCACAGCUUAACUGUGGGAAUUGCUGGAGAUACUAUCAUGACUCGAGGUCGGGAGAGGCUGGAGGUACUCCCAGGGUAGGGGUGAAAUCCUGUAAUCCUGGGAGGACCACCUGUGGCGAAGGCGUCCAGCUGGAACGAACCUGACGGUGAGGGACGAAGGCCAGGGGCGCGAACCGGAUGAGAUACCCGGGUAGUCCUGGCCGUAAACGAUGUGGACUUGGUGUUGGGACGGCUUCGAGCUGCCCCAGUGCCGAAGGGAAGCUGUUAAGUCCACCGCCUGGGAAGUACGGCCGCAAGGCUGAAACUUAAAGGAAUUGGCGGGG